rnacentral:rRNA from 1 species
UACGAAGGGGCUAGCGUUGUUCGGAAUUACUGGGCGUAAAGGGCGCGUAGGCUGUGCUGUAAGUCAGGCGUGAAAGCCCCGGGCUCAACCUGGGAAUUGCGCUUGAUACUGCGGCGCUGGAAGGUGGGAGAGGAUGGGCGGAAUUCCCAGUGUAGAGGUGAAAUUCGUAGAUAUUGGGAAGAACACCGGUGGCGAAGGCGGCCAUCUGGCCCACAUUUGACGCUGAGGCGCGGAAAAGCGUGGGGGAGCAAACAGGG